CAAUUGGCAAAUCAAGCCAUUUAAACUGUACUUUGAUAAUGAUUGAAAUAUAUGAAAUAAUUCACUAAAAAUCUUGAUAAAACUAGGGGGGGGUCUCAACACUCGCAGGAGCGUGUAGCUCACAGCUUGAUGAUACGAGGGAAAGUAAAUGUGUUUUAUAAAUCACAAGUCUACUACCAAUAAUUAUGCACACUUUUUAGAAUUUCGUAAAUUUUUCGUUUUUGUACCUUUUCGCAUGGACUGGCUCAUAUAGGUGAUAUCGGCGAAAGUACCAAGCAAAGCCUAUGUAUAGUAAAAGAGUGAUUUCGCCCUAACUUUUUAAAAAAUCAACAUAUUUUAGAUGUGUUUUUUGCAAACUAGAUGUUUUGAGAGAUGCCGAAUCCAUUUGAAACUUCAAAUCGUUGCUAAAAUAUUUGGAAUAUGGACUUUUUGCUGAAUGGUGU
rnacentral:lncRNA from 1 species